AUGGAAACCGGAACGCACCCGCGUUGCUCAGGCCUCAGGGGCGACUAGGGUGGUGAACAAGAGCCUCUGCCACCGCCUCCCUUUCGUCCCCUUGUUCACUCUGCAGCUGCUCAAACCUGCUGGCGGAAGCCUGUGCAGCGCCGAGGACAGUGGCGGACGGCCAUUUUUCCGUGCCGAAAUAGAAGGCACUAGUAGAAUAACGGUGGGAGCGCCGUCAUCCAAAGAGAAGUUGUCGAUCAAAUAUGGAUAAUGGUGGAAGCGCCGGCCCGAAUCAAAACCAGAUUGAUGUUGGGUGCCUCACCUGAAGUACUGAUGCCGAAGCCGCAGUUGGCGAUGGCCGAGGCAAGGUUCGCCUGGUACGGGCUGGCGUUGGUGAAGUUGUCCGUGGUUGAGCACUUGGGCGCAAGAGGCGUGUAUGUAGGGCUGGCUAACAGCUAGUGCUGCAACCGACGAGAAGGUGGUGAGGAGGAGGAGGAUGCGCCGCCACGACGCCAUGCCUAAUUGCAAUGUUAGAUAAGUCCAUACUCCUUGCUCCAUAUGUAUAUAUAGCGCACUUUGCAAGUCGUGUUUAUGCCUAAUUAUUACGACGGCCAGAUGCUCCACUUCAGUAAAAGGCAAUUACCAUCCUAUUUGUGAUUUACGGUCCUCAUCUACCCCUCCUGUUGGUUUUAUUCACGCGUCAGCUCCCUGUUUGCUUACGGGAAAUAUCCUGCUCUGGAAAGCUUGAUACCUCCGAUUGACGGCUUCCUUCUGUCACGACCCAAAGUCAAGAAACAUGAUUAACAAUUUAAACAACAUCAUCAUGAGCAUCAUCCAAGCAUAAUGAAGCAUCAUGUGCAUGUAAUUGGCCAGAGUUAAUCCAUUUUCUUGCUUUGUUUAAGUGAAUGUUGUGAAGCAAGUACAAAUUUUUCUAUGUGGCUGUGCUUCCAAAAAUUUUAUUCAAAUACUAGAUUUCAAAUGGUGAAUUUUAGAUAUUUUUUCUUAAAUUUUUAUGUUUAUCCCAAGCCAUAAAAUUCUUGAAAACUUUGAAAACUGCAGUUUUGUUUAAAUUUUUGUUAGCAAUCCGUAAUAGCUUUUUGAGUUCUUGUUAUUGCACUGUGUUCUUGGCAGCUUGAACUUACUCCAGUAAAAUUUUGGCGAUUUUUGAAGCCAGGGAAGUAUACCUUUUUGAAUUUAGAAAUUGAACCCCCAUUUUUCUUUUUCUUCCACCGCCGGGCCCACCUAUCAUUCGCCUCUUCCCGCAUCUCUCGCGCCUUCAGCCUCCCCCGUUGGCCAGCCGCGCGGCGGCGCCACCCCGUCGGCCACUGGCUGGGCCCACGUGGCCUCGGGUGGGAACCACCCCACGGCCGCCCGCUCGCCUCCCCACCUGCCUUCAAACACUGCCCCCUCCUCUCCCCAAAAACCCUAGCUCCCCAUUCGCCGCUGCCUCCUCCUUCCUCCUCUCUGCCGGCCGCCGCAAUUCGCCGCCGCCGGAGCUUCCCGACGACAGCCUCCGCCGCCGCCGCCGCUCCUCGCCGUGCCGCCACUCGCUGCCCUGCUCCGCCCGUCGGUGCUGCGGGUGAGCUUACCCAUCGUGCCAUGCCCCUCAUGCGCGCGCUGCCCCCACCCCGCUCGCGCUCCUGCCACGCCGCCCCUCGUCGGCCGCCGCGACGUCGCGCCGCGCGCGGGCCGCGUCAUGGGCGCGCACUGGCCACGCCCCACGGCGAGUCAAGGCCAGCGGCCGGCCUUGACUCGGCCCGGGCCUCGCUGACCCCCCUGGGCCCACUUGUCGGCGCCUGGGUGCGCCAGAUCUGGGUGGCCCUAGCCCGUU